GUCAGCACAGUAUUGCGUGGGUGUCUGUCAGCAGGAACUACCAAUAAUAAUGCCCAACUCAGCAAAGAAAUCUGGAGCAAAGAGGCAACGUUUCUCUGAAAGGCUGAAGCCGGGACGGGGCCCUCAUGAGGCUGGUGGCUUCUGCAGCGGUAGACGGGACUUUUGUAGAACUGUCGCCAGGGCCCAACCUCUGUGGAGAGGAUAGGAAGCCUGGGGCAGCGUGAGGAGCGCCCUCAGCAAGUAGCCCAACCAGGAGUUUUUAGGGGCUCCUUCCGUGUGGACAUCUGCUCAGUUUUCCUUGAUAAAGAUGCUUUUGCACGGCUGUAAAAAACAACAUGCUUUGUCACGUUUCAAAAAAUAAA